GAGACAGAGCGGCGAGCGAAGGCGUCGGCCAUUUUGUGGAUGUUUCCUGUGGGACGCGGUUGUGACGGUUGGGUCGGAAGAGUGAGCUAUUUUUCACGUUGUUUUUUCCUGUUUGUUUUCUCCUCUUUUUGUCGGUAGAGCGCAGUUAUGGGUCGCAAGAAGAAGAAGCAGCUGAAGCCGUGGUGCUGGUAUUGUAAUAGAGAUUUUGAUGAUGAGAAGAUCCUUAUACAGCACCAAAAAGCAAAGCAUUUUAAAUGCCAUAUAUGUCAUAAGAAAUUGUAUACAGGACCUGGCUUAGCUAUUCAUUGCAUGCAGGUGCAUAAAGAGACAAUAGAUGCAGUACCAAAUGCAAUACCUGGGAGAACAGACAUAGAGUUGGAAAUAUAUGGUAUGGAAGGUAUUCCAGAAAAAGAUAUGGAUGAAAGAAGACGACUUCUUGAACAAAAAACACAAGCAGAGAGUCAAAAAAAGAAGCAGCAAGAUGAUUCUGAUGAGUAUGAUGAUGAUGACUCUGCAGCUUCGACUUCAUUUCAACCACAGCCUGUUCAGCCUCAGCAAGGUUAUAUCCCCCCAAUGGCACAACCAGGACUACCACCGGUUCCAGGAGCACCAGGAAUGCCUCCAGGCAUACCUCCAUUAAUGCCAGGUGUUCCUCCUCUGAUGCCAGGAAUGCCACCAGUUAUGCCCGGAAUGCCACCUGGAUUGCAUCAUCAGAGAAAAUACACCCAGUCAUUUUGCGGUGAAAACAUAAUGAUGCCAAUGGGUGGAAUGAUGCCACCUGGACCGGGAAUACCACCUCUGAUGCCUGGUAUGCCACCAGGUAUGCCCCCUCCUGUUCCACGUCCUGGAAUUCCUCCAAUGACUCAAGCACAGGCUGUUUCAGCUCCAGGUAUUCUUAACAGACCACCUGCACCAACAGCAACAGUUCCGGCUCCGCAGCCUCCAGUUACUAAGCCUCUUUUCCCCAGUGCGGGACAGAUGGGGACACCUGUAACAAGCUCAAGUACAGCUUCAUCCAAUUCAGAAAGUCUGUCUGCAUCUUCUAAAGCUCUGUUUCCUAGCACAGCACAAGCUCAGGCAGCUGUCCAGGGACCUGUUGGUACAGAUUUCAAGCCCUUAAAUAGUACCCCUGCAACAACUACAGAACCACCAAAGCCUACAUUCCCUGCAUAUACACAGUCUACAGCUUCAACCACUAGUACAACAAAUAGCACUGCAGCUAAACCAGCAGCUUCCAUAACAAGUAAGCCUGCUACACUUACCACAACCAGUGCAACCAGUAAGUUGAUCCAUCCAGAUGAGGAUAUAUCACUGGAAGAGAGAAGAGCACAGUUACCUAAAUAUCAACGUAAUCUUCCUCGACCAGGACAGGCUCCCAUUGGUAAUCCACCUGUUGGACCAAUUGGAGGUAUGAUGCCACCGCAGCCAGGCAUCCCACAGCAACAAGGAAUGAGACCCCCAAUGCCACCUCAUGGUCAGUAUGGUGGUCAUCAUCAAGGCAUGCCGGGUUACCUUCCUGGUGCUAUGCCACCGUAUGGGCAGGGACCGCCAAUGGUGCCCCCUUACCAAGGUGGGCCUCCUCGACCUCCGAUGGGAAUGAGACCUCCUGUAAUGUCGCAAGGUGGCCGUUACUGAUCUUACUUCAUCCAGUCUAAUAGGUUUUUAGAAGUGAAGUAUAGUAAAUUUGGUUCGUUAUAUUGUGAAGGCGCUGGAAUUACAUGAACAUACCACCUUAAUAAAGCCCUGCCAUAGGACAGGCUGAGGCUGAGUCUCAGUGUUGCCCUGUUCAGUCUGAGCAGCAGAAUUUCAGCAUUUGCUACUUACUGGUAGAGAAGAAAAAUCCCACAGCCCUGCCAGUACAGGUUAGUUUAAUCUGUAAGUACCUGAUGUUCCUAUUUUUUUCAAACAUAUCCAUAUAACCCACACAAGGAAGAAAGCUGUGCAGUUAUUAAAUGUGAAUAUAAUAGAGAUCAUUGAACACUUUCACACACACAACAUUUGGGCCAAAGUAGCUGUAGGUUCGCUCACCUUAGCUGUAAUAAAGGUGUAAUACUGCUCCUUUAUUAUCUGGUUAUGACUGAACCUAAGUAGAUAAAUUGUACAUAGGAGGAAGACAGUGGAAGUUUCAAUUGGCUGUAUGCUCAUGUUGGUAUAGAGAGUGUAGGUGUUUGGCUUCAGGGUCUCCUACUUAAGCCACUUCUGUGGUGGAAUUCAUACUUUUUUAACUUUUUAACAAUAUGAAUCAACAGACAAUAAGUCACAUUUCCUCACCUCUAGCAGUGAUAAGCUAGAAAAUGUUUUUAUCUUUUUUGUACACUAUAACCUAUUCUGUUGGUGCACCACCAUUGUGGGUUUGUUUUAUUUUGAACUAAGAGUAAUUUUUUAAUGACCAAAUGAAUGCUGACUAUCAGGAAAUCUAGACAGGUUUCUUUGUGCAUUCCUUUUGAGGGGCAGUGAGGACAUAUCUGUUUGUGAAAGUUACAUUAAAGUUUUUGUUAGUUUCAUUAGUUCUACCAGGAUUCAUUGUCAACUUGAACCAUCCUUCAAAGAUUUCCUUUAAGCUUUAAAUAUUAUGCUUUUGUGUUAGUAAAAAUUUUAAAUACUGAGGAGAGAAGAAGAAAGUGUACAAUUUAGUUUAUACAAGCCUGAACCAUUCUCCAGUCUAUGGCUUCCUCUUCACCUUAAGUGUAAAGUUAUAUAAUAAUGGGACAGUGUUCAUAAAACUAGCUGAUCUUUUAUUCCUAUUAAACGGGGAUGGUGAUGAGCCACUGAAAACAAGAUCAUCUCAAUGUUAAUAUGGAAGUCAUGUUUUCAGUUAAGUGUUUUAAUGACCUUGAUUUAUCAACUGAUAAUAUUUUUUAUAAGAUAUUCACUUGGCUUUUUAUAUAUAAAAUUGCCUAAGGGCUUAAGUUUCAUUGCCUUUCACAGUUUAAUCUGUAUAAGAAAUGGUGUAGAUACAGUGGAAAUGGUUUUCCUUAAAACCAUCUCUUUAAAGCUGCUUUGCUGGUGAGUACUUGCUAUUUUAUACUUCUAUAUAUUACUAUUUUUCUAAAGUUGGACACUUUGAUGGCAGUGUCUUGAGUUUGUGUUCUUCAACUAUUAUCUGAAUCAAGAGUGUUAAGGUGAUUAAAGUUUCCUACAGAUUUUUUUGUAGUUGACAGAAAAUUUUUUUCUCAGUGCUUUUUGAUUGCCAUUUUGCGUAGGUAUAAAAUUUAAAGACCAGAAUUUCUGUCCAGCGAUUCCUGAACAGUUAACUGAGAGUAGAGUUAAGGAAAGUUUGCCCAAAAUGGUCAUGCAGACUAAUCACUUACACAGAAGUCUCUGAGUGAAGCUUGAAAAUUUCAAAUGUACUCUUAAGUCAUUCUAACCUUGCAUGAAAAGCUUUGGUUGGACUACUGAUUUCUGGGACUGUGUAUACCAGUGGAAAUUAGCCUGAGUAUAUUUCUAAUUACUUGAUCCCUGUUUGAUCGUUGUAACACAUGGAUUUUUUUUUCCCCUUUAGCUUUUAGUCACAUCCUAGCUAAUGUCAGUAUAUGCUAAGGAUGUUUUUAGAUUGUUUUUCCUGCUGUGAUCUUUGUAAGUCAGUAAUAAAGAGGCAUCUCUUGCUUUUUAGUAUGAAGAGUGAUAAUCUUCUAAAACCUGAAAAUUGAUAUCUGAGUAUGUGAUAAUGGUGAUGUAUUGUUCUAGAUAAGCACUAAACAAAGUGUGGACCCUCAAUUGAUGUCUUUAAGAUUUAAAGUGAAGUAUAUUUCUAAAGAACUCUGUCCUUUCCUAGCAAGGAUAAGCAGAUGCUGAAAAGUCGGUAAGUAUGUAACUUUAAAUGCAUGUAAUAGUUAUGUGAAUAAAUAGCUAAAUUUCCAUGGUUAAGGUAAUAUCUAGACAUGAACAAGAAUUCUUGAAUAUCCUUUGCGACUUAAUGUGUCUAGCACUUUUACAAAUUUGUGUGCACACUGAUUAAAUUGAAAGGUACCUUACUUCUUUGUCUCUUUUGUUUUUAUUUUUAUGGUGCUUUACUAAUUUCAUAUUUCACACUUUUUUCAGAGUAGAAAUAAGUGGCGGGUAAAGAAUAUCUUCAAGGAAGAAUUAUUUAAAUGUCCCCAUCUUAAAACCCAGUGAUGACCUUCUGUUUACCUUAAGGCUUCUGUUCUUUCAGCUCCAGUUAGAUCCGACAGAUAAUCAAAAAUGGGAAUGAAAUCUUUGUGCUCUUUCUGGAGUAUUGUGGGAAUCAUUGUAUAAUAGUAAAAUGUUACUUAAGGCAACAGUGGAUUUUCAGGGAAGCAGUGUUUUUUAAAUUAAGAGAGAAAGGUGGUGAGAUUUUGGAAUCUCUCCUCCCUGGUACACCAUUGCUCUUAAUAAAAAGAGGGUAAAUGGAGGUUCAAGGGAAAACAUUGAAUUGCUACAGCAGGGAAGGUGAUUUACAUCUGAACACUGUGUCUGCUUUCCAAAGUGAUAUAUAGCAUUUUGUGAUAUGGUACAAGAUCUCAAAGGGGUGGGGAAAACAGGUGGGUUCCCUCCAUUCUGUCUCCAGGCUUCACUCCAGCACUGUACUGGCAAGGAGGGAAGUGAAGAAGAGCAAGUCAUACAAGGGAUAUGAUGGUAAGAAGAACCUAAACAAAACAAAGGAGGAUAAAUGCUAGUCCAUGUAUAUGAUUAAAUGGUCUAGCUAAACAACUUUUGACUGGUAGCAUAAUUUUUAAUCUAAGUAAAUGAACUUAAUGAUUUAAAAGUUGUGAUUUAAAUACUAGCUUAGAAUUUUUACUGACUUUUAUUUAUUUAUUUUUUUUCCUGACUUUUAAAACUAAUCAAAAAAGGAAGAUGCUAGCAAUUAACACUAGGAUUUGCAGGGCAGGGGGGAGGUGGGUGGGUAUUUCUAAAUUAAAGCUUUCUUGCAUAAGUAAUAGUGCGAUUUGUUGCCUUGGGGUACCACUUGAAAGCUAGAGCAUAAGAAAAAUGAAAUGGGUGACCACAUUUAUAGUGUUUAUAUUAAAUUUUAGCCUACUGGUAGGGUUUGAAUGGAAGAGGUGAUCCCAGAUAUAUGUGUGUGGAACCAUAUAAUUGGAGCUCACAAAAAGCCUUGAGUUUUUGAGGGUUUUUUUCCUCCCCUCUUGAGUUUGUCUGGAAGUGUUUGCAAGGCUUUGAAAAAGCCAGAACUACCAUUUGGAAAAUGGUACUUUAUUUUCAGAUAUGAAACAAGUUUUGGGUUGGAUCUUCAUUUAAAGGGGGAAGGAUUUUUGCUUCUGCAUUAUUAAAAGCAAGUGUCUUUUUAUUCCAUGGUAAUGAUUGACCAUUAACAUUUGAGUGUCUGUUGUUUACAAAUAUUAAUAAAAUUUUUCAUUUCUUGACUAAUGA